rnacentral:rRNA from 1 species
AGGGAUUGCCCUAGUAACGGCGAGUGAAGCGGCAAAAGCUCAAAUUUGAAAUCUGGCACCUUUGGUGUCCGAAUUGUAAUUUGGAGAGGCAACUUCGGGUAGGACCCAGUCUAUGUUCCUUGGAACAGGACGUCAUAGAGGGUGAGAAUCCCGUUCAUGACUGGAUGUUCCUACUAGUACGUAGUGCCUUCUACGAGUCGAGUUGUUUGGGAAUGCAGCUCAAAAUGGGUGGUAAAUUUCAUCUAAAGCUAAAUAUUGGCGAGAGACCGAUAGCGCACAAGUAGAGUGAUCGAAAGAUGAAAAGCACUUUGAAAAUAGAGUCAAAAAGUACGUGAAAUUGUUGAAAGGGAAGCGCUUGAGACCAGACUCAGCCUUUGGUAAACAAGUGUCCUUCUGGGCAUUGCACUUGCCUCGGGUUGGGCCAGUAUCAGUUAGGAUGGUAGGAGAAAGGCCAGGGGAAUGUGACUCCAUUUUGGAGUGUUAUAGAUCCUGGUGUCAUGCUACCUGUCCUGACUGUGGACCGCGCAUUAGCUAGGAUACUGGCGUAAUGGUCUUCAGCGACCCGUCUUGAAACACGGACCAAGGAGUCUAACAUCUAUGCGAGUGUUUGGGCUACACACCCUCACGCGUAAUGAAAGUAAACGGAGGUGGGAAUUCUGCAAGGAAUGCACCAUCGACCGAUCCUGAUGUCUUCGGAUGGAUUUGAGUAGGAGCAUAGCUGUUGGGACCCGAAAGAUGGUGAACUAUGCCUGAAUAGGGUGAAGCCAGAGGAAACUCUGGUGGAGGCUCGCAGCGGUUCUGACGUGCAAAUCGAUCGUCAAAUUUGGGUAUAGGGGCGAAAGACUAAUCGA